rnacentral:rRNA from 1 species
GGCUUGGUCCGAUGCUUACACAUGCAAGUCGAUUCAAGUUACCUUCGGGUAAUGAGGAUGGCGGACGGGUGAGUAACGCGUAAGGAACUUGCCUCUUGGACUGGGACAACUGUUGGAAACGACAGCUAAUACCGGAUAUUAUGAGAUUCUCGCAUGAGAAACUUAUGAAAGCUAUAUGCGCCAAGAGAGAGCCUUGCGUUCCAUUAGCUAGUUGGUGGGGUAACGGCCCACCAAGGCGACGAUGGAUAGCCGGCCUGAGAGGGUGAACGGCCACAAGGGGACUGAGACACGGCCCUUACUCCUACGGGAGGCAGCAGUGAGGAAUAUUGGACAAUGGGCCACAAGCCUGAUCCAGCAAUUCUGUGUGCACGAUGAGGGUCUUCGGAUUGUAAAGUGCUUUCAGUUGGGAAGAAGAAAGUGACGGUACCAACAGAAGAAGCGACGGCUAAAUACGUGCCAGCAGCCGCGGUAAUACGUAUGUCGCAAGCGUUAUCCGGAUUUAUUGGGCGUAAAGCGCGUCUAGGCGGAAAAAUAAGUCUGAUGUUAAAAUGCGGGGCUCAACUCCGUAUUGCGUUGGAAACUGUUUUUCUAGAGUACUGGAGAGGUGGGCGGAACUACAAGUGUAGAGGUGAAAUUCGUAGAUAUUUGUAGGAAUGCCGAUGGAGAAGUCAGCUCACUGGACAGAUACUGACGCUGAAGCGCGAAAGCGUGGGGAGCAAACAGGAUUAGAUACCCUGGUAGUCCACGCCGUAAACGAUGAUCACUAGGUGUUGGGGGUCGAACCUCAGCGCCCAAGCUAACGCGAUAAGUGAUCCGCCUGGGGAGUACGCACGCAAGUGUGAAACUCACAGGAAUUGACGGGGACCCGCACAAGCGGGGGAGCAUGUGGUUUAAUUCUACGCAACGCGAGAAACCUUACCAGCGUUUGACUUCCUAGGAAUUUUCCGGAGAGGGAUUCGUGGCGGCUUGGCGGGAACUCAGGGACAGGUGUUGAUUGCCUGUCCUACACCUCUGGACGCGAGAGUGUGAGUUAGGUCC